CACAGCUCAAACAAAUUACCACACAAAUACCUAUAACCUUUUUUGACCCUACCAAAUUAUCGAGUCCAUUUAUAUUAAUAUAAAAAAGUUUAUGUUAGAACUAGUAACAAGAAACGAACUUCUCUUAAUGCAAGUGUACAUCAGAUUGAACUAAUCACUGAUAAUUACCGGCCCCUAACUGAGGGAAAUGUAAAAACCCUUCAAGAAAAUUCUACACAAUUAGCCGUUAAACUUACACAAGAGCAUCUCAAGAAAGAUUAAAAGGCGUGGAAGGAACUCGGCAAACAUGAACUUCGCCUGUUUACCAAAAACAUCGCCUCUUGCAACUCACAUAUAAAAGGUAACGCCUGCCCAGUGACCAUGUGUUCAACGGCCGCGG
rnacentral:rRNA from 1 species